ensembl:lncRNA LINC01089 long intergenic non-protein coding RNA 1089
CCGGCGGCGGCAGCUGCGCCGCCAAAGCCCCGGGCCCCAGCGGCCCCCCACCCCUCACUCGCGCGCUCCCACACUGCCUCCCCCUCCCCGGGGGAAGGCCUUUUAAUUUAUUUAUUUUUCUGGGACUGGGGUGGGGGUCUUGGCUGGCGGGGGAGGGGGUCUCCCCGGGCUCUACCUCCCGCGGCCGGGACUACCCUCAGAGCCGCGACCGCCGCGGCGUGCGUCCCGGGCCUGCAAAACUGUUUCCAAACUGCCCGGGCCGGAGGCGGGCGCGCGGGGCCCGGGGAGAUGGCUGGGGUCUGGGGGGCCGAGGGUGUGUGUGGACGCUGGGAGCCGCGGGGGGAGGCCGGCGUCGACUCAGAGGAGUUGCAAUCGAGGUCCGGGAGUGGCGGCGGCCAAUCAGCGCGCGGCUUCCAUUUUAGCAGUAAACAGUCCUCAGCGAAGCCGCCUUUUUGCCUACCCAACCCUGGAAAGUUUGCAGAAGUGGAAGGAGCAGAACGUGAGGGUGUAACUUACAAAAAGGUUCUGGGCCGGAGAAGGGGCGACGUUCGGGCACCCCCCGAAUGGACAAUCUUUCCUUCUGUCAACGGCAGGGGCAGGCCUAGUUUGACUCUGACAGUCCUCCCACUA